UAGGGAAUCUUCGGCAAUGGACGGAAGUCUGACCGAGCAACGCCGCGUGAGUGAAGAAGGUUUUCGGAUCGUAAAGCUCUGUUGUUAGAGAAGAACGUUGGUAGGAGUGGAAAAUCUACCAAGUGACGGUAACUAACCAGAAAGGGACGGCUAACUACGUGCCAGCAGCCGCGGUAAUACGUAGGUCCCGAACGUUGUCCGGAUUUAUUGGGCGUAAAGCGAGCGCAGGCGGUUCUUUAAGUCUGAAGUUAAAGGCAGUGGCUUAACCAUUGUACGCUUUGGAAACUGGAGGACUUGAGUGCAGAAGGGGAGAGUGGAAUUCCAUGUGUAGCGGUGAAAUGCGUAGAUAUAUGGAGGAACACCGGUGGCGAAAGCGGCUCUCUGGUCUGUAACUGACGCUGAGGCUCGAAAGCGUGGGGAGCAAACAGGAUUAGAUACCCUGGUAGUCCACGCCGUAAACGAUGAGUGCUAGGUGUUAGGCCCUUUCCGGGGCUUAGUGCCGCAGCUAACGCAUUAAGCACUCCGCCUGGGGAGUACGACCGCAAGGUUG
rnacentral:rRNA from 1 species